UACGUAGGGGGCAAGCGUUAUCCGGAAUUACUGGGCGUAAAGCGUGCGUAGACGGUUGCGUAAGUCAGAUGUGAAAGCCCCGGGCUCAACCUGGGAAUUGCAUUUGAGACUGCGUAGCUAGGGUGCGGAAGAGGGAAGCGGAAUUUCCGGUGUAGCGGUGAAAUGCGUAGAUAUCGGAAGGAACACCAGUGGCGAAAGCGGCUUCCUGGUCCAGCACCGACGUUCAGGCACGAAAGCGUGGGGAGCAAACAGG
rnacentral:rRNA from 1 species